GCAGCUGUGCCCACCAGUUUUUCAGUACCUGAGUUCAUCUUGGUUUGCUAAACUGAUCCUUAGAUGCCAGAUGCAGAAUCCCUGGUGGCACUACUAUACAAAGAUUUUUUUUCUUGGUAGGAACUAUCAGAGAUUGAGGUUUUCUGCUAAAGCCUUUGAGAAUCACGCCUCCACUCCAUAAUAGAGAAGAUUUAAACAGGCCCUUACCACUCUUCUGCCUUGUUCCAAGAUGGAAGGAUCUGGAUAAAGAAAAUAAUGGAAUUUUGCAAAAGUUUAUGGUGGUCUCCAGUCCCUGGAUUCAUCUCACUUGUGAAGAUGGACACACAAGUUAUUCUUCAAACAAUAUUUCUGCUACUGUAUUCUCUUGGUUCUGCUUAUUUCACUCUCAUAAUUCCAUGCAGUUCUUUACAUGUUUUUGUUAACCUGCUUAUCAUUUCUUAUGGCACACAGUCAUAUAUUACAACUUGUUUAACCAUUCUCCAAUUAAUUGGCAUCCACUCUUUUUUUCUAGUUCUUUGCUGCCACAAAGACAGAUUCUAUAAAUACCUGAACAUAUAUGUUCUUUUCCUUUUUCCCUGAUCAUCUUAGAAAAUAAUUGCAAUAGUGGUAUUGCAAAGCUAAAGGGUAUAGAAAAAUAAGAUGCAACAGGUUCUGGCAUUUGCCACAUAAUCCUACAAGGUAGGAUAAUGGACAUGGAAUUCAGAGAAACUGAAUUCAAAUCUUGCCUCAGAUACUAGCUAUGUGACUUUGAGUAAGGCACUUACCUCUCUUGGCCUCAGUUUCCUAAUUUGUAAAAUGAGGAUAAUAAUGGCACCUACCACUCAAGGUUACUAUGAAUGUACAAUAAUAUAGCAUAUGUUAAGUGCUUUGUAAAUGUUAACAUGAUAUAGAAAAGUUAUCAUUAAUGUCAUGAUGAUGAUGAUGGUGAUGACUAUUAUUUCUCUGAACAUGUGGUCCGCUGUAGAGCACCAUCUGUGAAAUCUAUCUUGUUCCCUUCUCAUAUUUUCAUGAAGGAAAUCAUCAGUACACUGUGGGCCAUUCUCAGAAAGAUCUUAGAAAGAUGAGAAAAUAGGAAUAUGGGUCAGUAGUUACUGCUGUUUUCUCUGUCCCCUUUCUUUAGCAAUAAUUCUUUGAUCCUUUAUUCUGUGAUCUCAGUGAUGAGGGCACUCCCUCCAACAGGGCAGAUCAUAACUCAUUCACACCUUCUCAUCUUGUGCAGUUGUUGUCCAGGUCCCCCAGCAAUUCAGCAGGGCAUUCAGCAAACAUGCUGGGGCCUUGCUCUGAAUCUCUGGAUGUUGUGUGGAUACCAGUGGAGUGCACAGGCUCUCCCAACACAACCAAUCCCCUUACUUUUCCGGUGGUAUGUCUGCUGAAGUCUAUAAUACCAUUGCUCCUACAGAAUUCUUUGCUGGUAAUAGCUGGCAGCACACUUAUGCCCACCAUGCAACAAUUCUCAUCUCCCCACCUCUGUCACCUUUUAUGCUUUCUGCAACUUGAAUUCCUCAAAGAUAGUGAUUGUCUAUAGCUUGUAGUCAUUUAGGAUUAUUAGAAGAAUAUUACUAUUUUCAAAAUGGGCACCUGUUUUGGGAGAAGGCGUGGAUCUUUAGAAACACUAAAAAAUAAUCAAAAGGAAUCUCUCCUGUUCCCUUCUUGCUAUUGUAUUUGGUUCCCAAUUCUUAUUCAUGCACAGCCUACCCAAAUCAUAUACUUAUUAACCAAAUUCAUUGACUUUCUACAGGCUCAUUUCACAGACUGGAUAACAGACUUUCUUCAACUAAAUCACUCAUUUUCCACCUCUUUUAAAUAGUAAACUUAAAUUCUUUUAAGUGAAUAUGAAUCUCAUUUAGGAAAUUCCACAAUAUUCCAGGGCUGGAUACAAUCAUUGGAAUUUCAUUGGCAAAUAGGCACAUUUGAAGGAUUUUCCAUCUAUUACAUAGUGGGUAAAGAGUUAGUCCUGAAGUCAGGAAGUCCAUUUCAAAACUGAAUGCAUACACUUAACAGCUAUAUUACUCUGAUCUCCUCUCUGCCUCAGUUUUGCCGUCUGUAAAAUGAAAAUAAUAAUAGUGCCUACCUCACAUGAUUGUUGUGAGGGACCAAAAAAGAUAAUCUUUGAAAAGUACUUAGCACAGUGCCUGAUACAUAGUAGGUACUUUGAAAAAUACUACUUCUUUUCCAUUUGGAGUCUCCACUGUACAUUUUCUCUAAUACUGAUAGAAACCUUUUAUGAGAACACACUAUCUCAUGUAUCACAUGACAUUUAGAGUAAACUGAUCAUCAAAGUUUUCUUGUUACAACUUUCAAGAAACCAUAUAAUUUAGAUGCCUCCAUAGAAGACACCAUUUGGAAAGAUUUAAGGCAACACUUACUGUGUUCAAUUAGAUUUUUUAAAAGUCAACUUGCAAGCACAAUUAUAAUCUUGUAUUAUUUGCAAAUUUUAGUCACUUAAAAUAUCUAUUUGUGAGAACAAUCUGUAAUUAUACUCAAAGAAUUAUAAAAGUGUAUGUACCUAUUUACCCAUAAUACCAUAAUUAGAUAUAUUUCCUAAGGUGAUCAAGGAAAAAGGAAAAAGAAAUUAUAUGUUCCAAAACAUAGCAGCUCUUUUUUGUGGUGGCAAAAAAGCUAGAAACUGAAGAUAUGUCCAUUAACUGAAGAAUGACUGAAAAAGUUAUGGCAUAUGAUUGUUGUGGAAGAAUAUUGUUCCAUGAGAAAUAGCAAACAAGAUGAUCACAAAAAACCUGGAAAGACUUAAAUGAAGGGAUGUAAAGUGAAGUGAGCAGAAAGAGAAUGCUGUACACAGUAACAACAAUAACGUAUGAUGAUCAACUGUGAAUGACAACUAUUUUCAACAAGGCAAGGAUCCAGGACAACUCCAAAUGAUUAGUGACAAAAAAAGGAAUCCACUGCCAAGGAAGGAACAGAUGGACUCUGAAUGAACAUUGAAACAAAUCAUUCUUCACUUUAUUUCCUCUAUGAAUUAUUCUCUUGGGUAAGCAACAUAUCUCUUGUUUCACAGCAUUAUGAACAAUGAAAUAUGUAUUAUAUGAUAAUAUAUAUAUAUAUAAUCUAUAUAAUAUUACCUACUUUCUUGGGGACUUGGAGGGGGAAAGGAAGACAAAAAAUGAACAAGACAGAUUUUUGAACUUAGCUAAUGUGAAAAUUUGUUUCUCUUGGAUAAGCAUGUUUAUUAUAAUUUAUUACCUAUUAUAACAAAUCAUAUGGCUUAUAUUAUUUUAUUACAUAUUAUAUUAUGCUACAUAUAAAAAAGAAAAAGCUAUUCUUUAAAAUAAAGAAAAAUAUGUAUCUUUCUUUGUCAGGAUUUGCAUAUUUUUUAACCAUUUGGAGAUUGUCUACUGUUUUAUUCUGUUUCAAUAUACUACUUUAAUGAUUUUGUAUAUCACCCUCUUAUUUCCACUUAUUUUUCUCUAUCAUUUCAUACCAAUCUUCUCAUGUUUAUCUGAAUUCUGCAUAUUUGACAGUUCUUACUACCCAACAACAUUCCACUGUGAGUAAUAGAAGCCAUAGAUUGUGUAGGAUAUGAACUGGGCUUGGUUAGAGGUUAGAGAACUGAUUCUUUGUGAGUGUGUAUGUGUGUGUGUGUGUGUGUGUAUUCUGCAGAACGGGGAAGACCAGAUUAGUCCCAUAAUCAUUGAAUUUGAGAUGGAAAAUAAAUUAAAAAAGAAAAUUAUGGGAAAAAUGAAAUACUUGUGACUAAUAUAAUAGUUAAUCAAAGAAAGCCAUAGUAGAGGAAGGAUAUUGAACAAACAUCCCAUUAAGUUUCUUAGCUUUUUUUGCUCAAGAGUUCCAUCAAAGAACCCUUCGUCUCCUGAACCAAUGUCUCAAGAAUAUAUUCAAUAACUGUUAAGGAAAAUAAUUAGCCCGACCCACAUUGUGAGCAACAUUGAUAGGUAUUCCUCUACCAUAACUUGAAAAUAUCAACAAAGCUUCAUAUCACAUUCUUCCAAAUAAUGUCACUGCUAAAAUCUCACUGUUACUUUAUCUGUAUGGAUAAUGAUACCUGAGAAGACAAAUAUCAUUGCAGGAUUGAGAGAAACUUUGGAGGCAACUGGGUUCUUACACCCUUCUCUACUAUUUUUUUUGCUUCCUAUCCUUAAAUAAAUACAACUUCAAUAAUGAAAUUAUUCAUUGGCUUCUCCUUUCAUUUUUUUCCUGGCUCAGUAGUAAGAGUUCAUAAAAGUCCAAUUAGAAGGCAAGUUGGUGGGGGCAGCUGGGUGGCUCAGUGGAUUGAGAGUCUAGAUAUGGGAGGUCCUAGGUUCAUAUCUGGCUUCAGACAUUUCACAGCUGUGUGACCCUGGGCAAGUCACUUAACCCCCAUUGCCUAACCCUUACCACUCUUCUGCCUUGGAGCCAAUUGACUCCAAGACAUAAGAUAAGGGUUUUAAUUUUUUAAAAAGAAGGCAAAUUGGGAAAACUGGGAAAAAGAAUGAGAAAGAAAUCCCUUCUGUAUCCUUUAAACAUCUCCUCAAACUUAGGAUGGUUCUGAACACAAUUUUUCUUACAACCAUAUCCACUUGAUUGCCAUUAGAUGAGAAUUUUCUGUUUAGAGUGCAAACAAAAUAUGUGUAUACAGUCUAAAACCAGUGAUUCUUAGUUCUUCUUUUCUUCUCUACUUCUCUACCAACUAUGAUUGUAGAAACAAAAGAAAAUGCUAGAUUGAACUAACCCUAACCCUAAAUACUGAUUUUUCCCCUUCCUUUCAUGGCUUUCCAUGAACCCUAAAUUUCCUUAGCCAUUAGCCAACCUAUUGAUUAAGAGCUAUUUUAUGUUAAGUUGGUUCCUGAACUGAAGACAUAAUUUGAGGACAGAAUUGUACCUGAAUCCUUAAGAAAUAGGAAUUGAAGGAAAUUGAAUUAAGGAAGUUACUUUAUCAAAUUAAGGGAAUCUUUCAUACUCAUUCUACUAAUUCAUUGUGUUUGUUUUUUAUAAAGCAUGUGUAAAUGAAAUUCAUAAUUUUAAAGAAUUUUAAGUUAAAAAAAUUAUCACUAUGGAUCAACUAGACUGUGAUUCACUCAAACUAAGAGACUCAGUAAAAUGCCAGAUCUAGGAUAUGAACCUAAAAAAAAAAGUUUUAUUGUAAGAAGACAUUAAACUAAAAAUCUCUACAUACCACAUUGUCUUUCUCAGAAUGAAAUUGCACUUGGAUGUUUAUCUAAAAACAUGAGAAGUAUCCUCUUUAAUAAGAAUAAAAGAAAAGACUUUUAAGUAAUGUCAGGGUUUAAGAAAGAAUGUCCAUUAUCACUAUUAUUAUUCAAUAUUAUACUAUAAAUGCUAAUUAUACCAAUAAGAAAAGAAAAAUAAAUUGAAGAAAUAAGCAUAGGUAGCCAAGAAACAAAACUAUCACUCUUUGCAGAUGAUAUGAUGGUGUACUUAAAGAACCCUAGAGAGUCAAUUAAAAAACUAGUGAAAUAAUUAACAAUUUUGCCAGAGUUGUAGGAAACAAAAUAAUCUCCAAAAUAUUAUUAGCAUUUCUGUAUUUUGCCAUCAAAAUCAAGAGGGAAGGAUAGAAAGAGAAGAAUCCAUUUAAAAUACUGCAGACAGGGGGAAGCUGGGUAGCUCAGUGGAUUGAGAGCCAGAUCUAGACAUGGGAGGUGUUAGGGUCAAGUCUGACCUCAGACACUUCCCCAUUUUGUGACCCUGGGCAAGUCACUUAACCCCUAUUGCCUAGCCCAUAGGACUCUUCUGCCUUGGAAACAAUAAAUAAUUUUGAUUCUAAGGCAGAAGGCAAGGAUUUAAAAAAAUAAUAAUAACUGCAAAUAUUAUAAAGUACAUUGAAGUCUAUUUGCCAAAUCAUACACACACAGAAAUUAUAUGAACACAAGUACAAAAAACUUUUCACAAAAAGACAUCUAAAUUACUUGAGAAAUAUUCAUUGCUCAUGGGUAGCCUGAACCACCAUGAUAAAAACAUCAAUGUUACCUAAAUCAUUUUAGUUAUUAAGUGCUAAACCAAACUACCAAAUUUGUUUAUGGAAAUGGAAACAAUUCACCUGGAGGAACAAGAUUGUCAAAGGAAUCAAUGAAAAAACAUGAAGGAAGAUGAUUUAGGAGAAACAGACCUCCAACUGUAUUUCAAAAUGGUAAUAAAAACAAUUUGGUACUGGAUAAGAAAUGGAGUGGUUGAUCAAUGGAAUAGAUUAGGUACACAAUAUAAAGAAGCAAAUGAUCAUAAUACUGAACAUUUGAUAAAUCCAAAGAUCUCAUAUAUUUGGUCAAUAAAAUACUAUUUGACAAAAUCAUGUGGGAAAACUGGAAAGUGUCCUGAAAGAAACUUUUCAUAGAUGUCUAACUCACACUAUAUCCCAAGAUAAGAUCAAAAUGAGCACAUGAUCUAGACAUAAAGGAUGAUAGCAUAAGAAAAUUAGGGGAGAAAGGAAGAAAUUGUUUGUUAGAUCUAUAGAUAGGGGCAGAGUUCAUAACCAAACAAGAGAUAGAAAGGUCUAUGAGAUAUAAAAUAGAUAUCUUUUAUUAUAUGCACUUUAUAUUUUUUAUUUAUUUUUUAACUAUUCCCCAAUUACAUUUUAAUAUGAUUCAGGUUUCACUAGGGAAUUUUAGUGGGUACAUACCCCAACCCGUGUUUGACACUUCUAGAUAAGUUUAUAUCUAAAAUUCCUUCUAAUCUCUCUUUUGUUAAUUUAAAAAAUUUUAAUUUUACUUAAUUUAAAUUUCAUUUUCCAGAUUAUAAUUUUUAAGUCAAUACAAUUUUCAACAAUAAUUUUUGACAUUUUUGAUCCAUGUUCUCUGAGUCCCUUUCUUUUUCCCUCCUCUAAGAGGAAGUAUAACACAAUAUAGAUUGUACUGCGUUAUCAAACAAUACAUAUUUUGAUGUUCAUCAUGUUGUGGAAGAAUAUAUCUAUCACUUACACCCGAAAAAAACAAGGAGGAAAUAAAAUGCAGAAUUAUAUGCUUUAAUUUGCAUUCAGACUCCAUCAGUUCCUUCUAUGACAAUGGAUAGUCUUUUUUUCAUCAUGUGACUUUGGAGUUGUCCUAAAAAUCUCUUCUAAUCUCAAUCAGUUAUUAAGUAAUAAUGAUUUAAAGAAUUACCUCCUCAUAAUUGUACUUAGAUCUUAAUAGGGGAUUCUUUAAAACAAACAAACAAAUCUUCUUUAAACCAAAGAAUAUCGGAUACUGAAAUAGAAUGGUAGAAUAUUUUUGGAAAGGUGGUCUUAAGGAGACCCCCUCAAAUACUAUCUAUCAUAGAGGCUUAUAUCACACAGGCUUAUGGAACCUUUUAUAUAUUUCUAAAACUAAUUGUUUUAUCUAAGUGUUAUAUCUUCUGAAACUAAUUAUUUUAUCUCUUCAUCUAAUUUUGUAUUCUUUUCUAUCUUGACUCCCUCCCCCAGACUCCAGAAACUACAUAAGGUAGAAAACCAUUGUGCUCUCUUCUUGCCUAACAUUUACAACAUUUCUAUUGUGUGAAGGUAGAUAAGUUUUGUUUUCUUCUCAUUCUCUGCCUUUUAUAAAUACAUUCACAAAGGUAACAACAAGGCAGAUGGAUAGAAAUGAUUUUGUCAUCUUCCUUCCCCUUCCCCACAUCAUUUAUCCCAAACCAUUUCACAUAGGGCUGAUAUAUAACAGUAGGCUACCAAUUAAGUCACUGGGAAGAGACAUUAUUAAGGUGGGACAGCCACGGCUACGUUCAUGGUACUGAAAACACUUAUUUUUCCAUUAGCAUCAAUACAACCAACAGUGUUAAAUACUUAGGAGAAAUAAUUCAUUAAAAUAUUAAACUACCCAAUGACAGAAUUGCAGACUGGUAUGAGAAUUUCACCUGCCUCUCCCUAAUUCCAUCUCAGCAUCAAUAUACUUCUCUCCUCAAUAUUAUCCUUAUGUCAGUGGCCCAAGGUGAAGGUUCCCUCUACACAUACAUAUCCAUAUAAAUGAGAGUAUGCUUCAUACCGUUGUCCCAGCUCUGAUUUGUGAUACUCACUCCCAGUACAAAAGUUCCUUGUUACAACUGUCACCAGGGUAUCUUCUAUCAAAACCCAAAUGGGAUAUUAUAUUUUCCUCGGGUAGAAAAAGAAUUGGGGUGGUAGUUUAAUCUUUUUUUCCCAUUAUUAUUAUUAGAAGUCAUGAUAUUUUACAAUUUAUAGUACUACUUACCUACUUACUAAGAAUAGAUUUUUAAUUAGAGUCUUUCUUAUGGGAUGAUGAGGUCCCAGGUUUUUAUAUGAAUGAUCAUCCAUUACUUCUGCCUGCUAACCACAUGGAAAAUGCUUUUCUAGUUCACUAUAUUAGAAUUGUGGAUAAAAUCAUGUGCAUUAUACAUAGGAACAAAAAGACCUGCAAGAUUUUGCUAAUUAGCACACACACACCUAUCCUGACAUGAAGAAAACAACUGAAAGUAACAGUAUUUCUCACUCUUUCCAAAGAACAUAAUUCUUCAAGGGCUCACAGUUAGGGAGGAACCAGACUUGUUGACAGCUGGAAAUGCUUGUGAACGUCAUUCCUAUAUUCUUUCUCCUGCUAAGAUAGCUUCUUUUCUUUUUUUUGACACUCAAAUGUCAACAAGUUUGAUUUUGUGUAAAUAGGUUACCUACACAUCAGUCAGUGACAGAAAGCCUCAAAAUGCUGGAGAAACAUCCAAAAGUUAGAAUGGUGUUUUUUAAUGUUCUUUAUAAAAAAACUCAUUUAUUCAUUACUUAUUCACUUAUAACUUAUUUCCCUACCUGACAGGAAUGUGUAAAGGAUUCAUGAGAUGUGUAGCAAUUACUUUUAUCUCAGUGAUAGUUUAUAAAAAUGCUGAAGGCUCCAUAUAACACUGCCCUUUGGAUCCUUGAUAUGGAACUAACAUAAGUGAGAACAACAUAUAACCACAUUUUUCUGUUACUUCAGUAACUAAAUCCUCUUGGAAAAAAAAAGAUUAAACUUCCUUAUGCCCUCAAUAACAUCUUGUGCAACAGCAAUGCUGUAGUAUAUAAAGUAAGAUUUACCUUUUCUAAUAAGGAGUUUGAUUCUAGAAAUGCAAAGACAUAUUAAUUUUAAGUAAGAAAAUUCAAUGGAAAGAAUGCUUGAAUUUUGAGAAUGAGAGUUCAAAUCAUAAUUCUGCUAUAUUAUACCUAUGUGCCCAUAGGGAAGGCACUUAAAAUUUUGGGGCCUUGAUUUCCUUAUUUAGAAUUUGAAGGGACUGAACUAUAUAUCCUCUGUGAUCCCUUUUUGUUUUAAAUCCACAUUCUUUUUUAUCUGUAUUUUUGGUAAUUUUUCCAUAACGAACAGAAGAACCAAGAGUUAAAUCAUGGUCCAUUCCAGGACUCUAGUAAUAUGAUAUUUUCUCCCCACUCCAUGGUACCAUACAUAGAAAUAUUAGAAAAGUCAUAGACUAUGUGUAGACCUGGAAAAAGUUACCAGGAAGAAAAAGUCAGGAUAUUGAUGUGCUUUGGGGACAUUAAGCUUUUACAGGAACCCAAAAAACAAGCAUGUUCACAAGAUUCUCUAAACCAAGACUUUCUUUCUGGGUUUGUCUUGUCAUAUUUACUUUUCUUCACCUAUUGACUUCUCAUCUGUUCUGAUAGUUUACCUAUGGAUUCAGUAGAUUUGGAUGUUGUCUUAAAGCAUCUUCAGAUUUUUUUAUGUUUCCUGGGGUGUCAAUCGAAAACAUUUUAGUCAGCAGUGCAAUGUCUAGCAGUUACUGCUUAGUCAUAAAUUGUUUAGGAGUAUAGCUAGUAGAUUGAAUAUACAAAUUCAGCUCAAUAUUUUUCAUUAGUUAACUAGAAUAGUUAAGAAAAUAUUCAAUUGCGAGAAUUAUGAUUAUGAAGAAACAUAUCUACCCAAUUGCUAAAAAGAUAUAUAAAAGUUCAGAAGUUUAAAUAACCUUAAAAAGCAACAAAGUGGCACAUGAGAUAGAGUGACUAGCCUGGAGUGAAGACAAACUGACUUCAAAUCUGGCCUCAGACCUUACUAGCUCAUGACCCUGAGCAAAUCACUUCAUACUAUUUAACUCAGUUUCUUCAUCUGUAAAGUGUUCUGGAGAAGGAAAUGACAAACAAUCCCAAUGUCUUUGCCAAGAAAACCCCAAAUGGGGUCAUAAGGAAUUGAACACUAUUGAAACAACUGAGUAAAAACACCAAUGAAUAACCUUUCAAACUUGACAAAUCAGGUCCAAUGAGAAGCCUGAAUGGUUUUGCUUUACAUUAAAUGCAUCAGUUAUAUGUAUUGAGCAGGCAAAAAGUAUUAAUAUAAAAUGAGUUCAUCAAGACAGCAAAUACUCUGGUAUUCUGCAAGGAUUUCUUUAUAAAAAAAAUUCAAAGAAAAUAUAUUUUUUCAUUUCAGUUUAGCAAAUAUUUAUUAAAUAUACUCAGAGAAUUUGUAAUCUAACAGAGAUUAGAUAGAUAGAUAGAUGAAUGGAUGGAUGGAUGGAUACAGAGAGAAGGGGAAGGAAAAGAUGGGAAGAGAGUAUUUAACAUUUACUAUGUCCCCAGCAUGGUAUUAAGCUCUUUCAACAAAUAUAUCAUUUGAUCCUCUCAGUUACUGUGUUAUGUAAGAAAAUACUCUGCUCACAGAUAAAAUAUCAGGGUUAAAGGGGGAAGAGUAGUGAAUGGGCACCUCAAGAUUUAGGGUACUUGAGGCUACAGAGAACCUUCUCCUCUAAAACAAAUCCUUACUCCCUUCAGGGUCCCUCACCUUUAUAAAGAUUUUCUGACUGUGUUUAUUUAACUAAAGAUGAAUUUAAUAACAAGUUCAAACUGGGAAGGUAUCGGUAGAGAGGAUAGUGAUUUGCCCUAUACUUUGCCACAGAUUGAGUUUGAGUCUCUCUCAGCUUUUGAGCUGAGGCCAGGCCUCACAGGUGAAUAGAGGUUUUCUUUUAUUCUUUUUCUAUGCCUAAUUUAUGCCUUCUUUCUUAAAUUCAAAGUCUUUAGCAGUAGACAACAAGAGGAAAAAGAGAAUCUAUCCUUCAGAGUUGGUUGGGGCUGUCUCUUUGAGGUGACACCCCUAAAGACUAGCCUUAUAGUUCACGCAGCUCCCCUAAAAUCCCUUUGUUUUAUGACACAAUCCCAGGGAAUCCAGGUAGAGCAAACAUUUGGAAAAAAAUCCAGGAAUAGGGGUGGUUUCUAUUCUGAGAGACGGGAGAGCUCCUUCCAGUCUGAGGUCCAGGAAAGAGUACCCACUAGAAAGCAACUGUCACUCUCCAAGUUACCUUUUCCCUCUCCAACUGCCUUUGCUCUCCAUCAAUCUUCACUCCAACAUUUCAAAUCCUUUCUGCGCAAUAUUUUCCCCACAGUUAUUAUCCUUAUUUUAUCAUUAAGGAAACUGAGGCAAACAGAGACUUUUUCUAGGAUCACAGAGUAAGUAUCUGAGGCCAGAAUUGAAGUCAGACCUUCCUGUCUUGAUACUCCAGGGCUCUAUUCACUGAGCCACCAGCUGCCUAUAGUAGAAAGAUAUUAAGUAGAAUAUGUGUAUAUACAUAUAUAUGAGUGUGUAUGAAUAUUAAUAUAUUUUACAUUUAAAAAUAUGCUAUAUGUACAGGAUAAAUAUAUACAUUUAUGAUUUGCCUUAAUCUAUAUUUAUAUAGCACUUGUAUACUUGUAUAUUUCUUUCAUCAGAACAGUCCAGUGAAGUAAGAAGAUCAAAUAUUAUUAUCACCACCACCACCCUAACAGAUGAGGAAAUCUAGACUUUGAGAGCUUAGGUAAAUUGCCCAUGAUUGCACAACUAGUAAACAUCUGAAGUGGGCUUCAGAGCCAGGUACCCAGAAUCUAAGAACAAAUUGCUAUCCAUUAAACUAUGCUGUCUUUUAAGAAGAGAAAAUAAAUUUACCAUAUUUUAAGAUUUAUAAAUCCAUUACAGUUUGCUUUUAAAUCAGUCUUAUAUAUAGACAGAGUCUAAAAGAUUCCAAGUGGUAUACUCUGAGGUCUUAGGAGGGAUCCCUACAUCUAAACAUUCCACCCUCCCCAAUACCCUAUUUUCCCAGUAUAUGAAAUUCCCACCCAGGAUGUAUUUUUUAGAACUAUGUCUUUGAGAAUUUUCUCUUAAAUGUCAAUACACCAAGAUAAUUCAUUAAAUACUAGGUUGUCUCAUUCAAGGCCUUCCAUAAACUGAAAGCCAUUAGAGAGAUUGUUGAGAUAUGCCAACCAUCAUUAAAAAAAAAGGAAUAGACACAAACUUCUGACUUUCCAAGUGUUUCUUGUUAAGAGAUAUAAACUUUUGAUUCUGUAGCAAAUGCAUGACUUGCUCAAAUCUAGAGAUUGCAUUCCCUCUUAAAGAGUGGCCAACUUUUCCCUAUAGCAGAAGUUGUAGAAUCCAUCUUUUUCAUGUGAUUAAUAAAACAAUGCACUUUAUAAAUAAUGCUAUCUGAUAAAAAAAAAACCCUAACAUUUCAGAAUAACUGUUUUUCUUAUGGUCUCGCCCAAAGAAAGUGAAGUCAAUAAAUACUAGGAAGAAUCCAGUUUCUGGGAUUCUUAUUACCUGAUUCCCCUUACUCCUUGCCACCACUCUUGGUAAAUAUUGACCAAGAUUUAGUAAUUAAAUAUCACAUACAGUGCCAUUCUAAGAAUUCUGAAUGCCUGGAAUCUUUGGUCUCUGGUCCAUCACCUGCUUAUUUAUCUUUCAACUGGACCCUUCCAUCACAGGGUAAGAGAAAAAUUUGCAACUGCAAUAAAAACCUCAUUAAUUCAGAAUUUACUACUUCAGAAUAACUGAUGAUUUGACUUACCCUGAAAUUUACUCUUUCACCAUUUCUGAACAAAGAGUUUGCUGAACCAGCAAACAAUAUUUAAAAAAAAAAUAGAUUUCAAGGGACAUCAUUAACUUACUUCCUUCAGGAACUAAGUCUUGCCCUGAGACACUGAUAUGCUGAUUGGUGAGAGUCCAUUUUUUUCUAGCAUAUUGUAAUUCCCUAAUCAUGCUUCACCCUAACCAUCUUCCUAUUAUAUCUACACUCAGACUGUACCAUCCUUUGCCCUUCCUGUCCCAGGAAUAGUAAUCAAAUGAACAAUAUUAUUGGUUUUUGAAAAGGUAUGUGUAGUGGGAAGAUUAUCCUAACCCUACCACUGUCACUCCCAUGUAAGUUAGUCUAGUUUUUCCUCAAAAUGUAUUGAAACCAUUCUUGAGACUUGAUCGUCUCAAGAUAGUAAAACUAUUAACAUCACUUUUUGGGCACAUGAGUAGAAAGCAACAAUGAGGCACUUCAACCACUCUUUCUAAUGCUUGAUUACUGAAGAGCCAUGUCCAUCUCAGACAAGGAAGAUUGGUUCAGCUGAAAUCAACCUGAGGUGGCCUCAAUGUCCACCCUAUUAAACAUACUUCUACUAUGACUAAUUAAAUCUCUUUUGAUUAUCUGUUAGACAUCCUCCAAAGCAUCUCAUUUUGUUCCAUUAUCAAACCUAAACUACCAAGGAAUUUACCUAAAUCAAACCCAGUUCAGGACAGGACCUUACUGUCCUAAUAUUCCAUUCACCAUCCCUUAUGAGUGCACAAAGCAAACAUCCUUCUUAGACACUAUUCCCCUAUUGGUGUCUUCUCUUAAAAUGUAAGCCCUUUAAUGGAAGGCAUUCUUUUUAAUAUUUGCAUCCCCAUCACUUAAGACAGUGUGUGACAUAAUCAUAACACUAAAUAGAUGCUUUACCCUUUAUUCAAUAAACUUGUAAUGUCCAUAAUCCUAACAGAAUUGUCUUAGAAAGAUAAUUUAACCUUACAGAAUUGUCUUAGAAAGAUAAUUUAACCUUCUUAAAGCAGGUCCAAGAAGUCUAUUUGCACAUUAAAACCAUUCAUUUGAGUACUAUGUUCUUCAAAAUAAUGAAUUGCCUCUUUUAAAAAUGUAUAUAUUUGUGUGUGGGAAGAGAGUGUAGGAGGAGGGAGAGGGAGAGAAUUAAAAUAUUUUCCCACAAUUAAUCAACAUUAAUGACUUUCAUUUCUGGAUUCAAUACAGAUAGCCAAAACAAAUAAUGUAACCCUGUAUCCCACCCCACACCCAAUAAUGUUUAUGACCAUUGAAUUUCUAAUAGCCAUCUAAAUUUAUGUUUCUAAUUUAUUAGAUUUUUCCCAUAAUAUGCCAUGAAAUCUUGGGUAGACCCAAUAUUCAUACCUCAAAGGAGGGCAGUCCAAAAUACCAUUGUUUCUCCCCUUUGCUCAUCAUCUCCUUAUUCUCUCCCACAACUAUUGUUGCCUCCUUUAUACUUUAUUACAAUAAAAUUGAAGUCGGAGAGUUCUCCAGACCUUUCAGGCAAGCAAAUAUUAUGAAAGAAAUCUAUGUCUCUCUCUUAUUUGAAACUAUGCAUUGUGCUCAAAUGUAUAAAUUUGCCAGCUCAGCUUUCUAAGGGUUGAUUAGAAGUGUCUUCUAAUGCAUAAUGUAGGCAGUUGAGUCACACUUCAAUUUCAGCUCAUGUUUUACAGUUUAACGCCUAUCCAUAAUCUAAAUAAACAGAGCGCUUCUAGGCUUAGGUUCAUUUGAGACAUGAUCUCUCCUAAGGAUUUAAAAAUUAAAAUGCCGACAUGGAGGAAUGGCAAUGUUUUUCAAUUUAAAAUGCUUAAAUAAUCUAAGUCAUAAUCAUGUUCCUUUUUUGUGCAGUACAAAUUUUGAAUAACCGAAAGGAUCAUUUUUGAACUAUAUUUAACAAGUAGCUUGUUUCAGCUCAGAUAUUAGCUUGAUUUACCAUCUGCAGAAUUACCAAUAACAUGAUGCAUUUAUUACCCGUAAAAGCUAUUAGCAGGUCAUUUUGUUCAGUUCAUCAUAUGUGUCUUGAGACACAAUCUGGCGUCUAACAGAUUUUCAUACAUUGAUGUCGCAGAGAAUCAGACUGUUCUUUAAUUGAUUGUUUCUUGCUAGACUCCUUUUGAUUAAAACAGGUUGUGCUAUUUGCUUUUAGUCCUACAUUUCUCUACUUCAAGUUGGGACCAGAAAAGGCAGAAAUUAUUCUCCUUUCUCUGUAUUUGGCUAAUUCAGUGUGGCCAUAUUAAUAAUCCUGCUCCAAUCAGAGAUUUUUUAAAUGGUUCCAGUUAUUUUAAGCCCUAUCCUCCCUGUCCAAUUAAUUCAAUCCACACAAAGCUUUAAAAGCUAAUCUUUUUCAUACCAAGAUGUUGGAUGUUAUGCCUCAAAUACAGACAGUACUAAGGGAGAAAAGAGAAAGAAGGCUUUCCCCAGAAGCAUCCUUCCUUCCCCUUUCAAAAUGUACCCAGGUCUUAGAAGACAAGAAUCUUGUCUUGAAUCAUGGUGGCAGUGAGCUGUUAAUUUUUAACAUAUAUUUAUAACUUCCUAAAAAGACAACUCCUUAAGACUAUUUUUUUAACCCAAGAGCAUUAUUAGAAAACUUAAAUUCUCAGAUUUCAGCUAAGGGCUUGAGUAGCCUGACUCUAAGAGAGAGAAAGAGAGAGAGAGAGAGAGAGAGAGAGAGAGAGAGAGAGAGAGAGAGAGAGAGAGAGAGAGAGAGCCAUCUCUCUAUAAUACCAUUAUAAGUGAUAGGAAUAGAUAGACAGAAAGACAAAUAAAUCAUACUGUCCUAAGCGAUAGACAGAUGGAGACAUAGUUAGAUAGGAAUCUAUCCAUCUACCUACCAAUCUAUCUGUCUGGAGAAAGAGAGAAAGACAGAGAAAGACAGAGACAGACAGAAAGCAACAGAGAGACAGAAAGAGAGAAAGAGAGAUCCAUCUCUUUGGACAGUCUGUGGCAUAUAUAUUUUUACAUAAUCAUUUACACACGUGUGUGAAUAUGUGUGUAUAUACAUAUCUACACAUAUAUACAUGUAUAUAUACCAACAUACAAAGAAAAUUCCCUGUCUACUAUGUAGGCACACACAUACCACAUACUUAGUUUGCACUUAUCUUUUUUUUUAUAUUUCACAAGAUCUCUGGGAAGUAAUUGAUAUUGCUCCCAUUAUACCCAUUGUAUAGAUUAGGAAAUUAAUGCUGAAAGAAGUUAAGAACCACCUCCUCAUAUUUCCCCCAGUCUUAAGGAUAAGAGAGUAGAUUUGAAUUGAGUUGCAGCUGACUAUUACCAAUAUUACUCAAUUUCUUGCUGUCAUAAAGUAGUUAUAAUGCUACAGAGAAAGAAAAGGGUUGGCACUUUUGCCUUCCAGGCCUUUUCAACUCUAUUUUCAUAUAUGGCAACUACAAUAAAAAUAAAAACAACUACAAAUAAAUUCCAUUUGAUUAGAAUGAGCAAUCGUUUGGGACAUCAAAACAAGGGACUAAUUCAGCUCUCAAAAGCCUUUUUGUUGCCUGAUUUUAGAAAGAUGUGAGACUUUUGAUCAUGUAGAUGACACUGUAAGAGAUUAUUCCCCCUUCCCCUAGGCCACUAUCCAUCAGCAACAAAGGAGAUCAUCAAUAGCACCCCUGUAUCCUGUGUCAGCUUUCUUCCUCCAUUGUUGAGUUACUUAAUCAUCCCCAAUUACUACAAGCAUUUGUUCAUUCCAGGUGAAGCUUUCAAGAACUUUAUAAAGAAAUAGACUGACAAAAAUCUCUCUCAUCAGAUGAAAUAAUUUUAUUAGGAAAGAGAAGCGACUUCUAACCUAGUGUGAAAAAUAUGGACAUCUUCUCCUGUCUUCACAUCAUUGUAUGAAAUACAUACCAUUUAAAAUUAUUUGGGGGUAUCCAGGAAUAAAUAGAUAAAACAUUCCUUACUUUAGCAUCUUAUCAUGAAUAAACUCUUGGAGAUUUAAAUCAUAUUUACAUAAAUUGUGUGGUUAUCUGUGAAUUUCUGAGGAACACUUAAUGCCUUAAAGCUGAAAUGCAUUCUUCAUGGUCAAUGAUCCAAAAAAAAAAAUGAUGUAAGGUAUAUCUUGAGAAAUUAUUUUUGUUCUAAAAUUUAUUUAAAACCAAGUUCUGCAGAUCACUUCAAAUAUUGCUCUAAGUUCUAAAAUAUAAUCUCUGGGUAGAUAUUUAGUGCAAAUUGAAAAAAGCUUAAAUGGCUUAAAAAUAGCUUCAAAGCAUUAGGUAGACACAUGAGGCAGUUAUCAUGUUUAAAUGAUGUGAGUUUAAUGGUCUUCUCAUACAUUAACACUACACUCUGAUGGUGAAAAAUGUCUUCGUCUCAUUCUAGAAAUGUAUAAAAAUAAGCAUUUAAAUUUAGUAAACCUUGGGAUUUAUUUAGAGUUUCCUUACAUAUAUAAUAUGUUUGAAAUUCAAUGAGGUGAAUUUAUGGUGUCCCAGGGUUCAUUAGCCACAGUGGAACCUUUCAAAUAUAUAAUAAAAAAAAAAGCAAGCACCCUGGGCAAAUUACUGCCAUGUACGAGUUCCUCUAUUCAUGAUAUAUCCAUUGGGAUCGAGAUUAAACCAAUACUUUCUAUCUGAUAGAAUACUUUUAGGAAUUAAGGUCAACGAAUACCAAAUUUUAAGUAUGUUAUGCCAGUAAAAUUCCAGAGAACAAAUUUAGAGUGACUCCCAUUCACACAAACAUGUCUAUGUCAAAAGCUGUUGAAAUUGCUAAAAAAUAAUGUAUUGCUAUUUGUCUUGUACCACAAAAUGAGUCAUGAUUUUAAAUGAUUCCUUUACGAGGGAGUUAUAUUGUGAGCUAGUUUGCUUCUGGCAAGAGUUGUAUGAAAUAGUUUGUACUUAAUACAAAUGUGGGUAGCUACCUGAAUGGGUUUUAAGAGGAAUAAAAAAGUUAAGUUUCUCUUGAUGAAAAAAAAAUGAACUUCUGCUUCUUCCUUUGGAAGAGAAGGGGGGAAAUGCAAUAUGCUUUGUGGUAUACUUCUGUGUUAUCUAGUUAUAUCUGGCCUGCAAAGUUAUAAAACCUAAAGUUUUCAUUCACAACUGGGUCCAGUAAUUCAUAUUGAGAAAGAGAAUUGACCAACUAUUUUUAAAUGAUUGACAGAUGUCUGAACUGUUGUCUGACAUUCCUCAUCAAGUUUACUUAAAUGUUUAUGGAAUGUGAUCCACUACAAUUUGAUAUUAAUUCAGUGGUUUUAUCCCAAUGGUGAAAAGUGAAAUCACUUAAAUUGCCUUCUUUCCUAAAUAAUUAUUUUCUUUAAAGUCAUCAAUUCCCAGUGUUGCUGAAUAGCAUUAUGAAGAUUUAAUUAAACUCAAUUCAAUUGAAUGCAAGUUAACAAACAUUUGUUAAUUGGUUGGCUAUAGAGCCCACCUUCUAUUUACAGAUAAACUUCAGAAUAGAUUAUCACUAUUACCUCUAAUAACAAAACCCACAUUUUAUCAUAUUUUAAAGUUUAUAAAAUAUUUACUCUACAACAAUUUGAGUUACACAUAUGCAUGUACUCUGAGAGAUGAGAAAAUGGAGACUCAAAGAGGUUAAAUUAAUGAAUGUAAGAUCUUAAUUGCUAAGGCUACUUUUUAUUCCUUUUUUUAAUUCUCUUUAGCAUCAAGACUAAUAUGAUACAUCACGCAGAGGGUGCCCAAUUUUGUGUUUGUUAAUUUUUAUUUUAUUUAAUGUCAUCUACAACUGUACUUUAGUGUACAUAUGAUAGUUUUUUUAAUUAUCAAAAUUUAAACAUCCCCAAGAUAAUGGAUAUAUUCAUUAUAUUGAAAAACUCAUGACAAAGCAUAAAAGAGAUAAGAAACAAGGAAGAAUAAAGAAUGACCAUUCAAUUUAAAAUUACUUUUUAUUUUUCAUUAACCUUCUCCAAAUUUUGCCCUCUAAACUGUCACAAUGUUAUCUGGGUCUCAUGUUCAGAAUGUUUCUUGAAUCAGAAAGAUUUAUCUUUAACUCCAUUUCCUUUGCAACUCCAAUUCUUUUUUGUGCCUUUAUCUUUUCUAUCUAUCCCACCAAUAUCCAUCCCAGGUUUACUCCUAUCCCUUUCCCAUAUUUUUGCUCUCCUUUAACUGGAAGUUUUGAAAGAGUGUUUUUUAAAAAGAAAAUGGUUCCUAUCAGACAGAAGUUCUUUUUAAAAGUUCACCCUUGAACUUUCUACUCUGUUAGUUCCUCAUUCUUCCUCUUUUCCCAUCUCUAACUGAAUCAGAAAUCCUUUCCUAUUUCUCUAAUUCCAAAGUGUGGUUUUCUUUGAACUACUUAUUCUUUUAUUUACUCAUCACUGCCAUACAACUUACUCUACAUAAGUUAGAUUAAUUGGGUAGAAAAUCUUUGGAUUGAUUAGUUUGAAAGUUCUUCUUAUAUAUUCCCUUAUUAGGCUGUGUGUAGGGGCUGGUAUUUCUAAUUCAGUGGAAUUCUUUCUUGAGAGGAAAGAUAGACAAACCUCAAAUAGACAUAUGAUACAGAGACAAAGUGAAUUAGCCUUAUUAGUUCAUUCUCAUUUGGGUUUAAUAAUAUUUUACUGACACAAAUUUACUCUUUUUUCUCUGACUUUUGUCCUUGUUUUUAUCUUCACACUCUGUUCCUCCUUUUUACUGUAAUCCUCUUUUGCCUUCAAAAAUUAUCAGAUCUCUCAUGACCAAAUGAAAUCUUACCUUGAUCUGGGACACUUGAUAGUACCUAAAUUGCCUAUAAAUUAUAUAUUAUGUGUUUCCCUAUGAUGCAAUGCUACUCCAGUAAAACCCUGCCCAUUUGAUAGAUGGGGACAGAACUUUUCCUAAUUAAUGUUAGGAAAUUUGAAAAUAAGGAUUAAUAAUUGUGAAAUUCUGAGUCUCUUCCCUUGACCUCUAGACCACUGCAUACUGUACCAGAAAUAUGAAUUGCAUAUAUUUCUGUAAGAAAAAAACCCUUCAAAUUACUUCUAUUUUAUAUAGCAAAUCUGUUCAUCAUUGGAAGCUAGUUAAGCUUACCUAAGCAAUUAUGCCAGUUUCCCGUGACUUUGAAGAAAAAAAAUAUUUUGUUGUGUUAAUUAAGUAGAAUAGGAGAAUGUGGAUUGCUGGUGAUUUUCCAGUAGAUGAAGCUAUUCUUGUGGUCGCCAUCAGCACAGCAUUAAUUGCUACAUAGCAAAAGAGAUUAAUAUUUUGAACAUUUUAAGUGGUUUUGCAUAAAUGUUAGCAAUAAGCAAGCCAUUUUAUGUCUUAUUGGUUUGCAUUUUUAAUAAUAUUGGGAUGCUGGCCUUCCCAUAAAGGGAAGAUUGCAACAAAACUGAAAUAGUGUUUCCAACCUUGCUGGUUAUGUGCAGACUGACCCUGUAUACCCCCUUUUGGGAACACUCAAAGACAGUGCUGCUGUGAAAAACAUAAUAAAGUGUGUGAGAGGGUAUAAUUUAUUUUUAAUUUUCUACAUUUUUGAAUUUAGUACUUAUGAGAAGCUAACAGUACUGUCAAGGCCUCAAAGGGAUAAGCACCAUGAAAGCUUCCUUUAUCUUUUAUUUUGGCAUGUUAAACUUGAGUUCUUUUCAAAAGCUGAUGGGUGAACAGAGCAAAGUACACUCAAUUGUAAAGUAGUCAUUUUUAUCCUCUUAUAAGUUUAGUAGGGGCAAUAUGACAGAACAAAUAAAAUGAUGGACUCUAGAUCAGAAAGAGCUUGGUUCAAAUCCCACCUUAGUUACUGAUCCUGCACAAAUUGAAUGACUUCUAUGUCCUUCAAGCAACUCUGUAUGAUUUAUCUGUGAAGUCAUUGAGAGGUGUUAGGAGUUCUCACACCUACAUUUUCUAUGUUGAAUUAAUCCUAGGUCCUUUGUGUAUUUGUAUAUUAAAUGUGAUGGCAACAUGUUCUGAAGCAAUAUGGGUGUAGUGGGGCAGGAGCUGAACUUGGAGUUAAGAUCUUGAUUAAAAUUCCAUCUCUAACAUUAUCUGUCUGGUCAAUAGUAAGACCCAAGUUAUGCUUUAAGUUAAAAUGAUAGACAGGCUGUGUCCUGCCUGAAUGGAAGGAGUUCCCACAAUUACAAAGUCCCAAAUUUUUAACUACAGGAGUAACAAUAUAACCAAUCUUGCUGCUAAUCUAACUCACAAGGAGCAGAAAGUUCAGAGACUAUAAAGUCUAUGGACAAAAGACCAAGAAGACAGGGGGAAUAUAUGACUGCUUAUGGUCAUUUGAAUACUCUAUACAAAUAUAUAAAUAUACAUAUAUAUAAAUAUACUUAUAUAUAUAUAAAUAUAUAAUAUACACAUGGGUACUCAAGAUUUAUUGAUUUACAGAUGAAAAACCAAAAGAAGGAAUUUUAGAAACCAUCCAGGAUAAUCCCCUUAUUUUACUAAGGAAGAAAGUGAAACUGAGAAAGGUUAGGUGACUUGCCAGGAUUAGGGCAAAUAAGUUAAUAAUUCUGUAUGAUAUGAAGAUUCUUUGAGCUUGAGUCACAUCUCAAGAAACUUCAAUGGUUUGCCCAUAACUAGUCAAUAAUCAACAAGAACUUAAUAAAGACAUAUUGGGUGUUGUGCAUAGUGCUGAAUUUUCAGGAGAGAAAAAUUAUUGUUUUUUUCUGCUCAAUAGUAAUAAGAAUAAUUGUACAUUUUACAAAAUUAUUAAGUAUUUGUUACAUAUAUAGUACUGUUUUGGUUCCUGGAGGUAAAGUAGAUAUCCUUUAAGGUAAAUAUUGAAGUUCAACAAAAAGAAAAGAAAACUUAUUCAAUUAACUUAUUUUAUUUUUUUCAGAUUACAUGUCAAUAUAAUUUCUUAAUAUUUAUUUUCUGAUAUUUUUCAAUCCAUAUUAUUUCUCUCUCUUCCACCCCUCCCAUCUCCUCAAGAAGGCAGGUAAUUUGCUAUAGGUUGUACUUAUAUUAUCACAUAAUGCAUAUUUCUACAUUUCAUGUUAAAUAAACAUAUUUUUAUAGUGGACAAAAAUUCAUGUAGGAAAACCUCCUCAGACUCCAUCUGCUCCUUCAGUAACUGUGGAUAUCCUUUUUUUGUCAUGAGUCUUUUGGAGUUGUCCUUGAUCCUUGACUUGUUGAUAAUAAAGUCACUUAUUCUUAAUCAUCAUACAUAAUUGUUGUUACUUUGCACAAUGAAAACAUUGUGCAAAGUUCUGCUUUGGUUCUGGUUCUGGUUCUGGUUCUGCUCACUUCAUAUAAGUCUUUCAAGGUUCUUUUGUGAUCAUCUUGUUUAUCCUUUCUUACGGCAAAAUAAUAUUUCAUUACAAGCAUACACUACAACCUUUUCAGUCAACUUAUAGACCUUCCUUCAAUUUCCAGUUCUUUGCCAACACAAAAAGAGUUUUACAUGUAAAACUUACUCUAUGUGUAGGAUCUUUUCCCCUAUCUUUAAUUUCUAUGGGUUACAGACUUAGUUGUGGUAUUGGAAAGCUUAUUUCUAAAAGUGUUAUCCCUACCCUUUGGCCUCCCUCAAAAUUUGUAAUAAUCUUAGUAAAAUGGUACCUGCCUAUUAUCAUGAAGAAUUAGAAAAGUAAUUUCUUACAUAUUUGUGAUGUCGUGGAUUUUUUAUUUGGUACUUAAUGUAUGGAAAUUAGCAACUCAGCCAAUAAUAGGACCUGCUAUUCUUUCUACAGAAGGAGAAUAAUUGAUGAAUUGUUGAGAGAUCCUUGGGUUGGGUAUUACCUCCUUGACUUGGGGGUUAGGUCUGAAUGAAACUACAAAAGCUGCUCUAUUCACUGCACUGAGGGGAGUUCCCAAAGAGAAGCAGGAUGUAUUGUGUGCAAUUGCUGGAAAUAUUCAACAAACAUCCUAAUGACAGUCUUCUGCUAUAUUGGUUGAAAUUAAAUUAAUACGGAUGUACUUAAUAUUCUGCUAAAUUUUGAACAAAACUAGUAGAUUGUAUUCUCAUACUCCUUGGGAACCUAUGUAAUGCUUACAUUUUUAGGUCUCUUAUAGAAUAAGAAAUUAAUAUAGCUUGAUACAGUGGAAAGCAUGGAGAUUUGGAGUAAGAGGAUAUGAUUUUGAAUUGUAUUUCUGUUAUUUACUAUGUGUGUGUCCUAAGGCAAACUGUUUAAAUUCUGGGUCUCAGUUUUCUCAUUGGUAAAAAUCAAGUUGGACUAAGUGGUGUCUGAGGUUAUUUUCUUAGAAGGUAGAAAUGAAAGAGUUAUUUAAAGAAACCAACAUGGAUAUCCAGAGACCUCAGCAACCAGAAAAACUUUUACAAAGAU